GCCAGGUGUGGUGGCUCACGCCUGUAAUCCCACCACUUUGGGAGGCUGAGGUGGGUGGAUCACCUGAGGUCAGGAGUUUGAGACUAGCCUGGCCAACAUGGUGAAACCCCAUCUCUA
rnacentral:SRP_RNA from 1 species